GUGAAAGGGCAACCAGGCGGCCGGCUGGUAGCGACGAUGGCGGCGUCCUUGCGCCAAGUGGUCGCGGGCAGCUGGCGGCAGCCGCAGCGAUACCUGCUUGCGCUGCAGUGUGCAACACACCAUACAAGAUGGUGCCUUAUAACUUCACGUACAUUCUAUACGGCUGAAUAUGAUCCUAAUGAAAAGGUAACAUUUGAGAAACUCCUUAUCGCCAACAGAGGAGAGAUUGCAUCAGAGUAAUGAUAAAACAUGCAAGAAGAGGGCCAUUAAAACUGUGUGCUAUACAUAGCCGUGUUGAUCCAAGUGCUUGAAGUGAGGACUCCAGGUGUGAUCUGCUUUUCUAUCAAAGUGUCCUAAAACUCAAACAUUUUUCAUGUUCAUAACUCUGUGGAUUGGACAUUCAUAUUUACUGGCCAUUAAAACAUACUUUCCCUUGAGCAAAACUAAAACUGACAAAAUACACAUGCGGGAGUUGUUUCUAAAUUUACAAAUACUUUGCUUGUAUAAAAGCAAUUGCACUGCAUUCAAAUGUACUGUAGGAAAAAUCCUGCAAUGGUGUAGAGCGAUGGAAGGAGAAACUGGAUGGUUCAAAACUGUAGGUAACUUCUCUGAUAGUCUUGUGGCUUUUUUGAAAUUUUACUAAAUUUCAAAAUUAAUUUAGACAAUAAAAAAUGACUCAUUUGAAAGGCUAUACACAGUAUUUAAAAGAUGUUAACUUCUAAUCUAGAACCAGGUAACUCAGUCACGUAUAUUUGUCCUGAGUAGUUGACUCUUUUGAAGAAGAACUGUAAUUUGCUUCUAGUUUUGUUGAUGAUUACCAUGCAAUUAAAAGGGAUACUGUCAAACCUGUGUUCCUGACUUCUUAAUUCUACUUUGGGGAAAGUAAAUAACACAAAUGUGGGAAUAGAGUUGGUUAAUUGUUUGAAUUCAGACUAAUCUUCCCACUUUGGAAAUAUUAGCCAUUUGUUUCUCACUUUCUAAAAAAUGGAAGUUAACACAAAGUAUGCUGUUAAUUGUCCAUUUUCUAUAAAGUAUACAAAUAUAGAUGUCUAAUAGUAACCAGGCUGCAAGCAAACUGCAAAACAAAGACAGACGUAAAACAUACCUGCCUCAAAAUA